rnacentral:rRNA from 1 species
AUUAGGGUUUGAUCCUGGCUCAGAACGAACGUUAGCGGUGUGGAUUAGGCAUGCAAGUCGUGCGCGAAAGCCUUCGGGCGAGUAAAGCGGCGAAAGGGUGAGUAACACGUAACCAACGUACCCUUCAGAUCGGGAUAACCUCUGGAAACGGUGGAUAAUACCGAAUGGCCUUUGCGGGAGACAUCUUCAGGAGGUAAACGGCGGCUUCGGCUGUUGUUGAGGGAGCGGGUUGCGGCCUAUCAGCUUGUUGGUGGGGUAAUGGCCUACCAAGGCUACGACGGGUAGCGGGUCUGAGAGGAUGAUCCGUCACACUGGGACUGAGACACUGCCCAGACUCCUACGGGAGGCUGCAGUCGAGAAUCUUCCGCAAUGGGCGAAAGCCUGACGGAGCGACACCGCGUGUAGGAUGAAGGCUCUAGGGUUGUAAACUACUGUCACGCUAUAGGAACACUGCAGGGUUAAGAGCUAUGCAGCUGACCAAAGCGAGAGGAAGUGCCGGCUAACUCCGUGCCAGCAGCCGCGGUAAGACGGAGGGCACAAACGUUGUUCGGAAUCACUGGGCAUAAAGCGCACGCAGGCGGCUUGUUAAGUCAGAUGUGAAAGCCCUCGGCUCAACCGAGGAACUGCAUCUGAAACUGGCAAGCUCGAGGACGACAGGGGUGAGUGGAACUCCAGGUGGAACGGUGAAAUGUGUAGAUAUCUGGAGGAACACCGGUGGCGAAAGCGGCUCACUGGGUCGUCUCUGACGCUGAGGUGCGAAAGCUAGGGUAGCAAACGGGAUUAGAUACCCCGGUAGUCCUAGCCGUAAACGAUGGGCACUAGGUAGUGGGCUUUAUGAAGCUCACUGCCGUAGCAAAUGUGUUAAGUGCCCCGCCUGGGGAGUACGCUCGCAAGGGUAAAACUCAAAGGAAUUGACGGGGGAUCACACAAGCGGUGGAGCAUGUGGUUUAAUUCGAAGCAACGCGAAGAACCUUAUCCUGGGCUUGACAUGCUUGGAUGCCCAUCUGGAAACAGGGGAGGCUGCCCUUCGGGGUGAAACUUGCACAGGUGCUGCAUGGCUGUCGUCAGCUCGUGUCGUGAGAUGUUGGGUUAAGUCCCGUAACGAGCGAAACCCUUAUCGGUAGUUGCGAGCGGGUCAUGCCGGGAACUCUAGCGAGACUGCCGGUGUUAAACCGGAGGAAGGUGGGGAUGACGUCAAGUCCUCAUGGCCUUUAUGCCCAGGGCUGCAAACGUGCUACAAUGGCUGGUACAAACCGACGCGAGACCGCGAGGUGGAGCAAAUCGGAAAAAGCCAGCCCCAGUUCGGAUUGGAGUCUGCAACUCGACUCCAUGAAGUUGGAAUCGCUAGUAAUCGCAGAUCAUCAAUGCUGCGGUGAAUGUGUUCCUGAGCCUUGUAGACACCGCCCGU